AGAGUUUGAUCAUGGCUCAGAUUAAACGCUGGCGGCAUGCCUUACACAUGCAAGUCGAACGGCAGGCACGGGGGGCAACCGUUGGUGGCGAGUGGCGAACGGGUGAGUAAAGCAUCGGAACGUGCCCUGGAGUGGGGGAUAACGUAGCGAAAGUUACGCUAAUACCGCAUAUUCUGUGAGCAGGAAAGCAGGGGAUCGCAAGACCUUGCGCUCUGGGAGCGGCCGAUGUCGGAUUAGCUAGUUGGUGGGGUAAAGGCCUACCAAGGCGACGAUCCGUAGCGGGUCUGAGAGGAUGAUCCGCCACACUGGGACUGAGACACGGCCCAGACUCCUACGGGAGGCAGCAGUGGGGAAUUUUGGACAAUGGGCGAAAGCCUGAUCCAGCCAUGCCGCGUGAGUGAAGAAGGCCUUCGGGUUGUAAAGCUCUUUCGGUGGGGAAGAAAUUGCAUAGGCUAAUACCCUGUGUAGAUGACGGUACCUGGAGAAGAAGCACCGGCUAACUACGUG
rnacentral:rRNA from 1 species